rnacentral:rRNA from 1 species
UGUCCCUAUCUACUAUCUAGCGAAACCACAGCCAAGGGAACGGGCUUGGAAUAAUUAGCGGGGAAAGAAGACUCUUUUGAGCUUGACUCUAAUCUGGCAGUGUAAGGAGACAUAAGAGGUGUAGAAUAAGUGGGAGAUAUUAGACCUCGGUUUGGUAUCGUCAAUGAAAUACCACUACUCUUAUUGUUUCCUUACUUACUUGAUUAAAUGGAACGUGUAUCAUUUCCUAGCCAUUAUACGGAUAUAUUUAUUAUAUCUUAUGGUAUUGGGUUUUGAUGCAAGCUUGAUCAAAGUAUCACGAGUUUGUUAUAUAAUCGCAAACAAAUUCUUUAAUAAAACGAUGCAUUUAUGUAUUUUUGAUUUGAAAAUUUGGUAUAACUCCAAUUACUCAGGUAUGAUCCAAUUCAAGGACAUUGCCAGGUAGGGAGUUUGACUGGGGCGGUACAUCUCUCAAAUAAUAACGGAGGUGUCCCAAGG